rnacentral:SRP_RNA from 1 species
GCCAGGCGUGGUGGCUCACGCCUGUAAUCCCAGCACUUUGGGAGGCCGAGGUGGGUGGUUCACCUGAGGUCAGGAGUGCGAGACCAGCCUGACCAACAUGGUGAAACCCUGUCUCUA